rnacentral:lncRNA from 1 species
AAAAAAAAAAAAAAAAAAAAAAGCCGACGUCAGGAGCGUGCUUCGUAAAGUGCAACUGAAAAGUCACUUCUGAAAACCUUAGAGCAUGAGAGGGUGACGACGGCAGCUUGAGCGUAUGUAUGUGGGAGGGGGGACUAAAAACCUGUCAUCUUUGCGCCUGUGUGUGGAAAACGGGGGUGGGGGGUGGGGUUUCGUCUUCAUGGAGCUGCUGACUAAUCACAUGUGAAGGUUUCUGAGCAGCUAGCUUUGCAGAUGAACCUGAGAUGAUAUUAGCAGUCCCUUUUGCCAUCGAGUGAACUUUUGUCUUCGCACUUUGCUCGUCCCCAUGCCUGGCUCCACGCGCUGGACUCUGCAGAAGAAGGGCAGGCCCAUUUAUUGCCAGACCAGUGGAAAGUCAUGACCACUUGGCUGUCGUGCGGUGGCAGGUAAUUAAAUAGAUGCAAACUUCUGUAUAGCAGCGACAGAGGAAAGACCAAAAUACCGGCAAUGCCUUGUUAUGCUCUCUUUGGGGACCCACAAGGACAAAGGGACGUUCUCACCCAGAGAAGGAAAUUUGGAAUUUAAGGAAGGCUGCAUUUCCUCCUAGGAAGCGCUUAGGGGCUUCAAUGGACCCUGACCAUUCGGGAGACUUACUGGAGUGACCAAAUAAGCACUGACAGCCCGCUGCCCAAUGUCAUACUGUGACAGCUAAUGUUUCAUCAAGCAAACAGCGUGGGAGCGCUUUAGGCUGUGUUCUCGCGACCUGAAAACAUCCACCGUGGUUGGCUUGAUAGCCUGUCUUUCGCACACAUGAUAAAUGUUAUCUCAGCUUUGCGUGACCACAACAGGGGAGGGCAAAGAAGUAAUGCUUUUCCAAAACAGAAGUCUGUUUCACACGCACACCCCCUACCCCCCAUCAGAGCGCUCCCUUUGCCCGCAGCGGAAGUUAAUGUUAUCAUGUCAGACAUUUGAUAUGAACACAAUGAUUUCAAAAUGUAGAGAUACCGCUGAUGCACUUGGGGGCGAUUGCCAGCAGGGCAAACAAGUGACUCAUCAGAGGAGGAAAAUCGUCCGCUCGAAAACCGACUGUGGUACCCACGUGAGGAUCUGGCUUGCUAGGCUCCAGUGCCGCCUUCUGACAAACGGAGGGACUCCCUCGGCCAAGAGGUAGGUGUUUAGAAACCACCCAUCUGAACGCUGCUUUCACGAUUUUGAUACCUGAGAAGACCUCUCGCCCCUCUUUUCUAAAACCUAAUAAGGACAAUAUACAGAGAACUCUUCUGGAAACCAAGGCCUGUGUCUAAUGGGGAGAAGCAAGUAGGCCCUUUGACAAUCCUUUCAAAACAAGACCUAGAAAGAAACCUUUUUUUUUUUUUUUCCAAGAUUCACAAAGCAGCGUUUUUGUGAAUGAACAAACGCAUCUUGUCAGCCCGUGCCAGCAGAAAUGUUAAGGAGCAAAACCAAAGUUUGAUUUUUGUAAGCAGGGUAUACUAUCGCCGCGGCCCACGUGGCACACACACAGGCAGCCAGGGUUCUUCUGCUCCCUGAGCCGUGGAGAUGAGAAGGGUGGGCUGCCCCACACAUGCGAGCACUCGGGGGAGCUCGCCUUUCUCAUCCUGAGGGCCCCACCUUUUUCAGAAGGGUUCACAGAAUUGCCCAAGGGCCCGGUCAGCGACUCUUGGCCAGUGGACAGUUAUCUGGGCCUGGACGUGUUGGAAGAACGCAGGUGGAAAAGGACUUGUCAGCAGCAUGAAGCCCUCUCUAUCUGCUGUCUAAAGCCCUUCAGUGAAGAGCCCAGUGUCACGGGGCGACUGUCGAACUGCGUGGACAUCUGGGGGGUUGACAUAAGUUGUGAGUAUCCCAGCCACGACGCCGUGGGAUGGUUUUCAGUUGUGUGGGUAUGAAGUCGCUGGGUUUGGAAUUUGUCACUGAAAUCAGGCAAGUCACAGUAUGACUGCGUGGUAGGGUCACCUCCUAGGCUUUUUCUUUCUUACAUCCAACACAUCUGGUAUGUCUUACUUAGGACGUUGUACUAUGUCCAUUAAAAUGAUUCCAUAAGGCAAGCCACCCAGAUGCAUUUACUAGCUGAAAAGCACUUUUUUAAAUAGACAAGGAUGAAUUUAAUAUGGGCCGAUGUGACCGUCUGGGGAAUCUUUUUAUAGCGAGCUUACAUUACUGUAUGUGGGGAAAUUUUUGUCUUCUACUCCCAUUCAACAAUAGCAAACGUGGUUUUAUAAGAUGAACAUUAUCGUGUUAGCUGCCUGUGAAAAAAUAAAGACUUGGCGUUAUCAGCA